AAGCUGAUCCAUUAUACCGCGUGUGUGAAGAAGGCCUGAGGGUUGUAAAGCACUUUCAAUAGGAAGGAAUACCUAUCGGUUAAUACCCGUGUAGACUGACAUUACCUAUACAAGAAGCACCGGCUAACUCCGUGCCAGCAGCCGCGGUAAUACGGAGGGUGCAAGCGUUAAUCGGAAUUACUGGGCGUAAAGCGUGCGUAGGCGGUUAUUUAAGUCAGAUGUGAAAGCCCUGGGCUUAACCUGGGAACUGCAUUUGAUACUGGAUGACUAGAGUUGAGUAGAGGAGAGUGGAAUUUCAGGUGUAGCGGUGAAAUGCGUAGAGAUCUGAAGGAACACCAGUGGCGAAGGCGGCUCUCUGGACUCAAACUGACGCUGAGGUACGAAAGCGUGGGUAGCAAACAGGAUUAGAUACCCUGGUAGUCCACGCCGUAAACGAUGUCAACUAACCGUUGGGUUCUUUAAGAACUUAGUGGUGGAGCUAACGUAUUAAGUUGACCGCCUGGGGAGUACGGCCGCAAGGCUAAAACUCAAAUGAAUUGACGGGGGCCCGCACAAGCGGUGGAGCAUGUGGUUUAAUUCGAUGCAACGCGAAGAACCUUAACUANCCUUGACAUGUAGCGAAUCCUUUAGAGAUAGAGGAGUGGCUUCGGGAACGCUA
rnacentral:rRNA from 1 species